rnacentral:rRNA from 1 species
CGGACGGGUGAGUAAUGUCUGGGAAACUGCCCGAUGGAGGGGGAUAACUACUGGAAACGGUAGCUAAUACCGCAUAAUGUCUGCGGACCAAAGCGGGGGACCUCCGGGCCUCGCGCCAUCAGAUGAACCCAUAUGGGAUUAGCUAGUAGGUAAGGUAACGGCUUACCUAGGCGACGAUCCCUAGCUGGUCUGAGAGGAUGAUCAGCCACACUGGGACUGAGACACGGCCCAA